rnacentral:rRNA from 1 species
GACUACCGGGGUAUCUAAUCCUGUUUGCUCCCCACGCUUUCGUGCCUGAACGUCGGUACUUGUCCAGGAAGUCGCUUUCGCCACUGAUGUUCCUUCCGAUAUCUACGCAUUUCACCGCUACACCGGAAAUUCCACUUCCCUCUACAGUACCCUAGCUAUCCAGUCUCGAAUGCAAUUCCCAGGUUGAGCCCGGGGCUUUCACACCCGACUUAAAUAACCGUCUACGCACGCUUUACGCCCAGUAAUUCCGAUUAACGCUCGCACCCUCUGUAUUACCGCGGCUGCUGGCACAGAGUUAGCCGGUGCUUUUUCUGUGGGUUAGGUCAAGACCCAAGGUUAUUAACCCUAGGCUUUUCAUCCCCACUAAAAGUGCUUUACAACCCGCAGGCCUUCUUCACACACGCGGCGUCGCUGGAUCAGGCUUUCGCCCAUUGUCCAAUAUUCCCCACUGCAGCCCCCCGUAGG